AGGACGAACGCUGGCGGCGUGCUUAACACAUGCAAGUCGAGCGGUGAUCCUCCUUCGGGAGGUGAUCAGCGGCGAACGGGUGAGUAACACGUGGGCAACCUGCCCCUCACACUGGGAUAACCUCGGGAAACCGGGGCUAAUACCGGAUACGACCUCGAGCGGCAUCUCUUGAGGUGGAAAGCUCCGACGGUGGGGGAUGGGCCCGCGGCCUAUCAGCUUGUUGGUGGGGUAAUGGCCUACCAAGGCGACGACGGGUA
rnacentral:rRNA from 1 species